GGAAAAGUCUUCUUCUUUCUCUUUUGGCUUUUCCCUUCAGCGGUCGCCACAGGGGUCCUCUGCCUCCUCUACCCUCACGCAUACUAACUAGUAAGAGGCAGUGUUGUCAGAUCACGUCCACCUGUCUGGUUUCUAGAGCUGUAGCGAAGCGUCGAUGAAGUCGACGGCUCGAUUCUAAAAAUUCGUCGACGUCAGAUCCGGUAGUCGACGCACCGCGCCCACUUGUUGCAUCCCCAGGAGUUUGUAAAUAGAGGAGGAAUCUGCCCGUUUUUCCUCUAGUUUGCCCUCUUCUCCGCCUUCACUAACAUCUCCGCCAAAUACCGAAGACCCGGAACAACGUCCGUCCGCUACCAGAUUCCUUUCCUGUUUUGCCCGCCUUUGUCUCCCGGCAACGGACAACAACUUCCGGGAUCAGAUGCGCUGCUUCGUCUCUACCGCAGAUGUAGAAAAUCACCGGGAGCGUUUCUCCCUUCAUAAAGGAGCUUCUUUCAGACAUUAGAAGAGCUGUUUUGGUGGUAGCAGUCUCUCCUCCGUGGUCUUUUUGCUGGUAUUUUUGGUUUAUUUAAACUUGGUAACUUGAACUUAACUCAUUCACUGCCAGCCGUUUCCUGAUCGCUAACGGCCUUCGCUGCCAGCGUUUCUCACCGUUUUUACUGUUUUUUUAAGAGUCACAGAACGUUGCGCGCUAGCAUGAUGUCGACGCCAAAACAACCAAAACAAAGAGGAGACUAGAGCUGAAACAACUAAUCGAUUUAAUCGAUUAUAAUCGAUUAUUAAAAUAGUUAACAACUUUUUUAGUCAUCGAUUAGUUGUUUAAUAAUCAUAUUUUACCGCAUAAAGUCUAUUUUUACCACAAUCUGACAUCGGUUACAAGCUGUUAAAUUUACCGCCAGUGUGUGGCAGUAAUGAGCCGCUGAUCUACCAGUGGAGCCGUAGAAGAAGAAAUGAGCCAAUGAGUGCCCUCGGUUUUCAUGACGUAUCACGUUACUGACGCUCAUCUUGCUGUGAGAGAUGGCGGAUCAAGAGGAAAUACGGAAGAAAAAUAGAAGCGACAAAACUUUAGAGAAACCCCGGACAAAAACCUCACGAGUAUGGGAGCACUUCACUCUAGAUGCCUUUAAAAGGCAAAAUAUGCAAAAACCAUCUAGCAUGGCACGGAAGCACGACGUCCCUAAGUGAACAUUUGAGACGAAAACGUGGGGGCUGAUGCAGCAGAGGAAGAGCACCGCGGUCAAGUGAGCCGUCAUUUGGAAGAGCCAGCCCGAAAAAAAACAAGCAACGAUGGACAACUACAUGGGGAACAAGACACUCACCCCCCAGCAAUUCAUACCACUUACAAACUCUAUUCUAAACAUGCUGGUAAAAGACAUGAGGCCACUAUCCAUGGUGGAAGGAGCAGGCUUCCAGCUAAUGCUAAAAAAUUAUUCUGGACUGAUAUUUUGCACUGUUUAGCUCAUUUUAUACUGCUGACUGUGUUCAUGUGCAAUAAAAUAGAUUGCAGUCAACU